UGUCUGUGGAGUCUGACGUGGAUGAGAACCGCCGAAGGUGGUUCGAGCCGAGGCACGCAGUGCCGAGACGACGUUGCGGCGCAGACGCAACGGCCCGAAGGGGAACAAUCCACCUCCCACCACCA
rnacentral:sRNA from 1 species